rnacentral:rRNA from 1 species
UACGUAGGGGGGCAAGCGUUGUCCGGAUUUACUGGGCGUAAAGAGCGCGCAGGCGGUCGUUCAAGUCGAGUGUGAAAGCCCCCCGGCUCAACUGGGGAGGGUCACUCGAUACUGAUCGACUCGAAGGCAGGAGAGGGAAGUGGAAUUCCCGGUGUAGUGGUGAAAUGCGUAGAUAUCGGGAGGAACACCAGUGGCGAAGGCGACUUCCUGGCCUGUUCUUGACGCUGAGGCGGCGAAAAGCUAGGGGAGCAAACAGG